AGGAGCCGUAUGAGGUGAAAUUCUCACGUAUGGUUCUGGAACGAAGAUUCUUUCAAUUGAAUGACGACCAUAGUAGAUGUUAGCUUAGUCCAA
rnacentral:ncRNA from 1 species